UACGUAGGGUGCAAGCGUUGUCCGGAAUUAUUGGGCGUAAAGAGCUCGUAGGCGGUCCGUUGCGUCCGCUGUGAAAACUCGGGGCUUAACCCCGAGCCUGCAGUGGAUACGGGCAGACUAGAGGUAGGUAGGGGAGAAUGGAAUUCCCGGUGUAGCGGUGAAAUGCGCAGAUAUCGGGAGGAACACCGGUGGCGAAGGCGGUUCUCUGGGCCUUACCUGACGCUGAGGAGCGAAAGCGUGGGGAGCGAACAGG
rnacentral:rRNA from 1 species